CCCUUAGAUGUUCUGGGCUGCACGCGCGCUACACUGACGCACCCAACGGGUUUACGACCUUGCCUGGAAAGGUUGGGUAAUCCUACAAAAAUGCGUCGUGGUGGGGACAGAUUACUGCAAUAACUAAUCUUCAACGAGGAAUUCCUAGUAAGCGCGAGUCAUCAGCUCGUGCUGAUUACCUCCCUGCCCUUUGUACACACCGCCCGUCGCUCCUACCGAUUAAGUGAUCCGGUGAAUAGUUCGGGCUGCUGCAAUGCUUGGAUCCCGAGAAUUGCGGCGAAAGUUUAGUGAACCUUAUCACUUAGAGGAAGGAGAAGUCGUAACA
rnacentral:rRNA from 1 species